AGAAGGUCUUUUCAAAUCAUCUCAUUCCCAGCUUGAGCUCUGAGAACUUCCAAGAAGAGUAAGAAGAAAACCUAAGUAUGGAUGGGCAUAGGAGCCCUGGGAGUGGCAGCACUCCUCCAAAUCACCGGUCCUGCUUCCAGUCAUCAUCCAGGGAAGCAGCUCCUAUGAAGAAGGGACUACCCACCCUCAUGGACUGCCAAACACCUACCACCCACAGGGCAGGUAGGCAAGACAGCUUACCUGAAGGGGCAGGGCACCCUGAGGAAGAGAUAGGAGGCAGCAUGUGCCAGGAAAAUCCAACCACCACCACCUGGAUCGAGUCUCCCCUCAGACGCUGAUGAAGACAGACCUGGACCUUGAAAGCAUGAGCUUUGGAAAUAGCAGUCCUUCUAGCCCAAUGUCCUCAGCCAUCACCCUGGGAAGCAACCCCUGUGGAGAUACAGUCUGGCAACUGCUUCUGCAGGUGCUACAGCCACAGCUUUGGAAGAUCUGAAAAAAGAAAGUAUCUGUCACCAUGUCCUUGGAAUUGUCACAUGGUUAAACUUUAGAAAACGAUAUUAUUUUUAUCAGUGGAAAUGACAGUAAAGAGGUUUUGCUUCUGCACUUGAAGGACCAUGGGAGCUUUCUAUCUGAUUUGCAGCUGGAACGUUGGGAUUGUCCUGCUUUCUUAUUUGUAUCCCUGGUGCAUAGCACAGUGGUUGGCAUAUAGUAAGCCCUUAAUAAAUGCUUCCUUCAUUCAUUCAUUGCUGACUCUCUGGGUUGGAGCAGGGAAAGGACACAGCAGUAAAUUUAGGUGAUGUAAAAACAGAAGAUAUCAAUAAAAUUCAUUUUUAAAAAAGUA